rnacentral:rRNA from 1 species
UACGUAGGCAGCAAGCGUUGUUCGGAGUUACUGGGCGUAAAGGGUGUGUAGGCGGUUGUUUAAGCUUGGUGUGAAAUCUCCCGGCUCAACCGGGAGGGUGCGCCGAAUACUGAAUAACUAGAGUGCGGGAGAGGAAAGUGGAAUUCCUGGUGUAGCGGUGAAAUGCGUAGAUAUCAGGAGGAACACCGGUGGUGUAGACGGCUUUCUGGACCGUAACUGACGCUGAGACACGAAAGCGUGGGUAGCAAACAGG